CAGAUGAAAAAAUUCGUAUACUAAUUCAACAUUACACACGAAGUACACUUGUGCGGCCUGGGGGUUGGAUCGGCGAGAUGGGCAGCCGGCGCUACAGCGCCGAGGCAUGCGCUUGGACCACCAGCAUCGUUGAUAGGGGCCAAGAUUUUCUUGAUCAAGAUACAAUACCAAUAAAAACACUUUCUUGAUCGACAUCAACACCCACGCCAUCAUGUCCAUCAUUUUGCUACACCAGUUAAAAAUUAUUGUAAAAUGUUUUGCACCUCAUAAAUAAUUCAAUGAACGUAGAUUUGUCACUAUCUAAGAAAGAACAAAAAAGGGCGUGUGCUUGAACUAUAUAUAAUUACUGUAAACAACAUGAAGCUUCACCCAUGAAAAUUCAACGAAAACAAAACUACACCAAAUUUAACAAUCGAAUCUAGCAAGUAUAAACCUUUUUAAAAUUCCAUAGGUCUAUCACUAUCUAAGAAAGAACAAAAUAGGGCGUCGACUUGACCCAAAAAAAUUAAACGAAAACAAAACUACACCAAAUAUAACAACCGAAAACAACAGAGAAUAGAAAUCACCGACACAAUUUCUUUGAACAAAACACAUUUGAAAUAAAAGAAAUUUAUGUUAAACCAAAAAAAAAAAAACAAAAGUAAGAAGGCGUAGAACACCAACCUAGUGUCUUUUGAACAUACGCCAUAAUGGAUUUCUUCUUGACCCUUCAGUGUUUUCUUCGCCGGAAUGUUGAAGAAUUGCACUGCAAAUAUAAUAUUUUUGGAGAGAUACUGGAGAUUCGUCGAAUAAAUUGGAAUGAAGUUCAAAUGAUUAAUGAUAUGACAGAUGCAAUUUACUCCCAGCAAUCAUUUGGAAUACGCUACAAAUCCGGGAUUUAGUAUGGUGAAUCAAUCGACGGGAAUAGUAAAGUACUAAUUUAACCUUGCCGAAUUUUUGUAUGUUAUUUAAUGAAUUAUAAAAUCAGCAAAAUAAUUAAAUCACACUCAAAUCUCGCCGUCUAUUUCCUGAAAUCUAAUGGUAAUUAUUUCUUCUCUAUUCUUAAUACUUAGGGCCUUCUCUAUAGAUACUAACCCUAUUCAAUACUAUCAUAUAUAAUUUAUAUACUACCUAAAAAAUAUCUUCUUCUUUUUUUAAUAAAAAAAAGUUUUAUCUGUAAAACCGGCCAAACCACUUCAUAGCAAUCAACUAAUAAGUAUGAAAAUUCAAAAUAUAGAAAUUUCCAAAGACGUAGGGCUUAUAAAUUUAACUAAAGGUGCUAAUAGAAUGUAAUUUUUAUUCUAAAAAAGAAACCUAAAAUACCUUCGGAAAAUAUAGUGCAUAUAUAGACUC
rnacentral:lncRNA from 1 species